rnacentral:rRNA from 1 species
UACGUAGGGUGCGAGCGUUAAUCGGAAUUACUGGGCGUAAAGCGUGCGCAGGCGGUCUGUUAAGACCGAUGUGAAAUCCCCGGGCUUAACCUGGGAACUGCAUUGGUGACUGGCAGGCUUUGAGUGUGGCAGAGGGGGGUAGAAUUCCACGUGUAGCAGUGAAAUGCGUAGAGAUGUGGAGGAAUACCGACGGCGCAGGCAGCGUCCUGGCCGCUUGCUGACACUGAGGCACGAAAGCUGGGGGAGCAAACAGG